rnacentral:rRNA from 1 species
UACGUAGGGUGCAAGCGUUGUCCGGAAUUAUUGGGUUUAAAGGGUCCGUAGGCGGAUCUGUAAGUCAGUGGUGAAAUCUCACAGCUUAACUGUGAAACUGCCAUUGAUACUGCAGGUCUUGAGUGUUAUUGAAGUAGCUGGAAUAAGUAGUGUAGCGGUGAAAUGCAUAGAUAUUACUUAGAACACCAAUUGCGAAGGCAGGUUACUAAGCAACAACUGACGCUGAUGGACGAAAGCGUGGGGAGCGAACAGG